rnacentral:rRNA from 1 species
GACGAACGCUGGCGGCGUGCUUAACACAUGCAAGUCGAACGGAAAGGCCCUGCUUUUGUGGGGUGCUCGAGUGGCGAACGGGUGAGUAACACGUGAGUAACCUGCCCUUGACUUUGGGAUAACUUCAGGAAACUGGGGCUAAUACCGGAUAGGAGCUCCUGCUGCAUGGUGGGGGUUGGAAAGUUUCGGCGGUUGGGGAUGGACUCGCGGCUUAUCAGCUUGUUGGUGGGGUAGUGGCUUACCAAGGCUUUGACGGGUAGCCGGCCUGGGAGGGUGACCGGCCACAUUGGGACUGAGAUGCGGCCCAGACUCCUACGGGAGGCAGCAGUGGGGAAUAUUGCACAAUGGGCGGAAGCCUGAUGCAGCAACGCCGCGUGCGGGAUGACGGCCUUCGGGUUGUAAACCGCUUUCGCCUGUGACGAAGCGUGAGUGACGGUAAUGGGUAAAGAAGCACCGGCUAACUACGUG